rnacentral:rRNA from 1 species
AACGAACGCUGGCGGCAGGCUUAACACAUGCAAGUCGAACGGGUGUAGCAAUACAUCAGUGGCAGACGGGUGAGUAACACGUGGGAACCUUCCUAGGGGUACGGAACAACUCAGGGAAACUUGAGCUAAUACCGUAUACGUCCGUGAGGAGAAAGAUUUAUCGCCCUUAGACGGGCCCGCGGCGGAUUAGCUAGUUGGUGGGGUAACGGCCUACCAAGGCGACGAUCCGUAGCUGAUCUUAGAGGAUAAUCAGCCACACUGGGACUGAGACACGGCCGAGACUCCUACGGGAGGCAGGAGCGGGGAAUCUUGGACAAUGGGCGCAAGCCUGAUCCAUCCAUGCCGCGUGAGUGACGAAGGUCUUGGGAUUGUAAAGCUCUUUUGCCAGGGACGAUAAUGACGGUACCUGGAGAAUAAGCCCCGGCAAACUUCGUGCCAGCCGCCGCCGUAA